AUAGGUUUGAAAAUUGAGGAGGGAACAAUUACUCCAAAAUCAUUUUCACGAUACUUAAAAUUUUCUACUCAAAAUUUCUCUCAAUUUCAACUUCAAUUCUUGAUUUCUGUCUUUCAAUUGCAACAAGCUAAGGAGGUUGGCGAGGCCUCUAAAGCUUAUGGGAAUGAGAAAGUAGGAGAAGCGUGACAGUUUCGAUUUGUACUCUUUAAUUUUUUAUUUUACUUUGUAUUAUCUUAAGUUGAAUGCUUAGGUUGUUGAAUAAACUAUAUGAUUAAGAUGAUUUUUGGUUGAAUAGAAUUGGUUAAGAUGCUUAAUGAAGUUAUUAAAUAUGUUUUAAUUGUUUAAACAA